GGGAAAGCAGGAUUCGAGCCUUUAAAAAUCCUCACCCAUUUAAUUUGUCCUCUAUUAUUCUUGCCUCUCGAUUUUAUUCUUGAUGAUAUUGCAAAGUUAAGGAAGUUAGUGCCCCCAACGCGUGAUGAUCCUAAUAGGUUUCCAAAGUUCAUCUUCAAAAUGAUGAUGAGCCAUCUUGAAAACAAGGAUAGUGAUGCUGGUGGUGAAGACGUCGGGACAUCGAUCUGAGAGGAGGAGCAGUCGGAGGUGGAUGUUAUGGAUCUGGAUGAGGAUCCUCAAUUAUGGCCAGAAGAGCUGUAUGAUGAGUAUUACAAAGAGGAACAGGAGAAGAUGCGGAAGGGGUUAGAGAAGUUGCUUUUGAAGAUGGGGAAGCGAUUGGACGAAAUUUGUCGAAGAAGACAAGUAACAGAGACGUCAAGUGUGGCUUGGCUUGAAUACGUCUAGUAUUUUUCAUGUUCUGAAUAAAUUAAUUCAUGCUGACUCAGAAAAGGAAUUGUUUUCCCAUUCCAUCUGUUCUAGAUAUGUUUUUCUUUUGUUGCAUUUUUAUUAAAGUCUUGGAAACGA